AGCGAACGCUGGCGGCAGGCCUAACACAUGCAAGUCGAACGAACCUUUCGGGGUUAGUGGCGGACGGGGGAGUAACACGAGGGAACGUGCCUUUAGGUUCGGAAUAACUCAGGGAAACUUGUGCUAAUACCGAAUGUGCCCUUCGGGGGAAAGUUUUAUCGCCUUUCGAGCUGCCCGCGUCUGCUUAGCUAGUUGGUUGAGGUAAUGGCUCACCAAGACGACGAUCAGUAGCUGGUCUGAGAGGAGGAUAAGCCACAGUGGGGCUGAGACACGGCACAAACUCCUAGGGGAGGCAGCAGUGGGGAAUCUUGCGGAACGGGCGAAAGCCUAACGCAGCCAGGCCGCGUGAAUGAUGAAGGUCUUAGGAUUGGACAAUUCUUUAACAGGGGACGAUAAUGACGGUACCCGGAGAAGAAGCCCCGGCUAACUCCGUG
rnacentral:rRNA from 1 species